rnacentral:rRNA from 1 species
CCUACGGGGUGCUGCAGUGGGGAAUAUUGCACAAUGGGGGAAACCCUGAUGCAGCGACGCCGCGUGAGUGAAGAAGUAUUUCGGGUUGUAAACUUCUUUUAUCAGGGACGAAGCAAGUGACGGUACCUGAUGAAUAAGCCACGGCUAACUACGUGCCAGCAGCCGCGGUAAUACGUAGGUGGCAAGCGUUAUCCGGAUUUACUGGGUUUAAAGGGCGUGUAGGCGGGAGUGCAAGUCAGAUGUGAAAACUAUGGGCUCAACCCAUAGCCUGCAUUUGAAACUGUACUUCUUGAGUGCUGGAGAGGCAAUCGGAAUUCCGUGUGUAGCGGUGAAAUGCGUAGAUAUACGGAGGAACACCAGUGGCGAAGGCGGAUUGCUGGACAGUAACUGACGCUGAGGCGCGAAAGCGUGGGGAGCAAACAGGAUUAGAUACCCCUGUAGUC